rnacentral:rRNA from 1 species
UACGAAGGGGGCUAGCGUUGUUCGGCAUCACUGGGCGUAAAGCGCACGUAGGCGGAUGUGCCAGUCAGGGGUGAAAUCCCGAGGCUCAACCUCGGAACUGCCUUCGAUACUGGAAGUCUUGAGUCCGGGAGAGGUGAGUGGAACUCCGAGUGUAGAGGUGAAAUUCGUAGAUAUUCGGGAAGAACACCAGUGGGCGAAGGCGGCUCACUGGCCCGGUACUGACGCUGAGAUACGAAAGCGUGGGGAGCAAACAGG